GACGUGACCCCCAGGGUCUCUUUAUAUACCCCACUCUUUGCCCACCUCACACCAUUCAAGUUUAACCAACAGACUCCAGUGAACUACAUUGCUACUCUACUCCUCAAGUGCUACAGAGCGAACUGGACUGAAGGACCAUUUUUCAAAAGCGACAUUCUUCUCUGAGCAUAUCUAUUAAGAGGCAGCGACUACAUUUGUCAAGCCACUGCCAAUUAAAAACCCGCGACAGGCUGCGUUGCAGUAACAAGGACUGUAAAUCGGAUCAAUUCAUCAUUGUCCUGACAAGAAGAGGCUUCUUCACAAGGACAUCCGAAAAGUCUCCGGGACACUUUUUUUUUUAAAACUCUCUUCUCCCAAGUUUGAACUUUUACCACAGCAAGUGCGCUCGAGCUUGACAUCGACACGCUAAACUUUUUUUGCAGAUAACUUCACACAUCGGUCUGACUUGCUGUAUAAAAAGGGACACACGGAAAACCGCCAACAUGACGAGCAAUAACACACAUUACUACGACGACAGCCAGCCACCGCAGCACUACCAGGGCACUGACAACUUCGAGGGGGACGAGGAAGACGAGAUGCCGGCUACGGAGAAAGAUCUUGCCGAGGAUGCACCAUGGAAGAAAAUCCAACAGAACACCUUUACAAGAUGGUGCAACGAGCAUCUCAAGUGUGUCAAUAAGACCGUGACAGACCUCCAGAAGGAUUUUGGCGACGGGUUAAAGCUCAUUGGGCUCCUGGAGGUUCUGAGCCAGAAAAAGAUGUACAAAAAACACCACACCAGACCCAACUUCCGACAGAUGAAAUUGGAAAAUGUGUCCGUCGCUCUGGAAUUUUUGGACAGGGAACACAUCAAGUUGGUGUCUAUUGACUCCAAGGCCAUCGUGGACGGUAAUCUGAAACUGAUCCUAGGUCUGAUCUGGACUCUGAUCCUGCACUACUCCAUCUCCAUGCCCAUGUGGGAGGAUGAGGAUGAUGAGGAGGCUAAGAAACUGACCCCCAAGCAGAGGCUGCUGGGAUGGAUCCAGAACAAGGUGCCUGAGCUACCCAUCAACAACUUCCACCGCGACUGGAGGGAUGGCAAGGCCCUGGGAGCCCUGGUAGACAACUGUGCCCCUGGUCUGUGCCCCGACUGGAAGGCCUGGGACCCUAACCACCCUGUGGAGAAUGCCAGAGAGGCCAUGCAGCAGGCUGACGACUGGCUGGGCGUGCCCCAGGUGAUCGCCCCUGAGGAGAUUGUCGAUCCGGAUGUGGAUGAACACUCAGUGAUGACCUACCUGUCCCAGUUCCCCAAGGCUAAACUGAAGCCUGGCGCUCCCCUCAAACCUAAAGGCGUUCAGCUGUACCCCAACAAGGCCAAGGCAUACGGACCUGGUAUUGAUUCCCACGGAAACAUGGUUCUGAAGCCAGCAGUGUUCACAGUGGAGACUCUGCAGGCAGGUCAGGCCGAGGUGCUGGUCUAUGUGACCGAUCCCGAGGGACACACUGAGGAGGCUACGGUGGUCUUUAACAAUGACAAAAACAGGACCUACACUGUCACUUAUGUACCCAAGGUUGAGGGUGUCCACAAGGUAAAAGUGCUGUUUGCAGGACAGGACAUUGACAAGAGUCCCUACACAGUGAACGUUGCCAAGGCCAUGGGCGAUCCCAACAAGGUCCAGGCCAGAGGACCAGGGCUGGAACCUACCGGCAACGUGGCCAACAAACCCACCUAUUUUGACAUCUACACCGCAGGUGCUGGUAAUGGUGAUGUGAGUGUUGUCGUCGUGGAUCCUGAGGGGAAGAAAGAUACAGUGGAACUGAUUUUGGAAAACAAAGGGGACAGUGUUUUCCGUUGCACCUACCGGCCCAUGUUGGAGGGCCCCCACACCAUCCACAUCCUGUUCGCGGGUCAGGAGAUCCCCAAGAGCCCCUUCAAAGUUCAAAUCGCAGAGGCCAUCAAUGCCAACGCGUGUCGUGCCACGGGCCGAGGCCUCCAGCCUAAGGGGGUGAGGGUGAAGGAGGUGGCAGACUUCAAGGUCUUCACCAAGGGAGCCGGCAGCGGAGAGCUCAAAGUCUCCGUGACUGGACCAAGUGGAGCAGAGACACCAGUGAAAGUUAAGGAUAUUGGUGAUGGUGUCUAUGAGUGUGAAUAUCUCCCUGUCCAGACUGGUAAAUACACAGUUAACAUCACCUGGGGAGGACAACUCAUCCCACGCAGUCCCUUCGAGGUGGAGGUGAGUGAGGAGGUUGGCCCUCAGAAGGUGAGAGCUUGGGGCCCCGGGCUGCUGACCGGCCAGGUGGGCAAGUCAGCUGACUUCGUGGUCGAGGCCAUCGGCACCGAAGUAGGAACUCUGGGUUUCUCCAUCGAGGGUCCGUCCCAGGCUAAGAUAGAAUGUGACGAUAAGGGUGACGGCUCCUGCGAUGUCCGCUAUUGGCCCACUGAGCCAGGUGACUACGCCGUCCAUGUCAUCUGUGAUGACGAAGACAUCAAGGACAGCCCCUUCAUGGCCCACAUCCUGCCUGCAGCCAAUGACUGCUUCCCUGAAAAGGUGAAAGCUUUCGGUCCAGGUCUGGCGCCCACUGGGGUCAUUGUAAACAAACCGGCAGAGUUCACCAUCGAUGCCCGCGAGGCUGGCAACGGCCACCUCAAGAUCUAUGCCCAGGAUACAGAAGGUGUCACCAUCGACAUUAAGAUCACUGACAAGGGAGACGGCACCUUCCUGUGUGUGUACGUCCCCACCAAGCCCAUCAAACACACCAUCAUCAUCACCUGGGGAGACGUCAACGUGCCCAACAGUCCCUUCAGGGUGAUUGUUGGAGAGGGCUGCCACCCAGCCAAGGUCAAGGUGUAUGGUCCAGGAGUGGAGAAGACAGGACUCAAGGCAAACGAGCCCACCUACUUCACUGUGGACUGUGCCGAGGCUGGACAAGGAGACAUUAGCAUUGGGAUCAAGUGUGCUCCAGGAGUGGUGGGCCCAGCCGAGGCUGACAUCGACUUUGACAUCAUCAAGAACGACAAUGACACCUUCACUGUCAAGUACACUCCGCCCGGCGCAGGGAAAUACACCAUCAUGGUGCUGUUCGCUGAGCAGGAAAUCCCCAUCAGUCCAUUCAGAAUUAAGGUUGAUCCUUCCCAUGAUGCUGGUAAAGUGAGGGCUGAGGGCCCAGGACUCAACAAGACAGGCGUGGAGGUGGGUACUCCGACCCACUUCACCAUCUUUACCAAGGGAGCAGGCAAGGCCAAGCCUGAGGUCCAGUUCACAGCAGCAGGCCUGAAGGGGGAAGCUGUGAGGGACUUUGAGAUCAUCGACAACCAUGACUACUCCUACACCGUCAAGUACACCGCCGUUCAACAGGGCCAGAUGACCAUCUCUGUCACCCACGGAGGAGACCCCAUUCCCAAGAGCCCCUUCAAUAUUACUGUGGCUCCUCCUAUAGAUCUGGGAAAGGUCAAGGUGACAGGACUCGACACCAAAGUAGAGGUGGGCAAGGACCAGGAGUUCUCCAUCAACACCAAGGGAGCUGGUGGGCAGGGCGAGGUAGCCGUCAAGAUGACCUCACCCUCCGGCCGACCAAUCCCCUGCAAGCUGGAGUCAGACGCGGCCAAUGGCGCCCACUCUGUGAAGUAUAUCCCCCCAGAGGAGGGGCCUUACAAGGUGGACGUCAGCUACGAUGGGAACCCUGUCCCUGGAUCCCCCUUUGCAGUGGAGGGAGUGAUGCCUGCCGACCCUUCAAAGGUGCGCGCUUAUGGCCCAGGCCUGAAGGGAGGCAUUGUGGGUAAACCAGCUCCAUUCGCCAUCGACACCAAAGGAGCGGGCGCCGGUGGGCUGGGCCUGACGGUGGAGGGGCCAUGCGAGGCUAAGAUUGAGUGCCAGGACAACGGAGACGGAACCUGCUCAGUUUUCUACUUGCCCACUGAGGCUGGAGAGUACGCCAUCAACAUCCUGUUUGGAGAGCAGCACAUCCCUGGGUCUCCCUUCAAGGCAGCUGUGAAGCCAUGUCUCGACCCCAGCAAGGUAACAGCCAGUGGGCCAGGCCUGGAGAAGGCCAAGGCAGGGGAACCAGCCUACUUCACAGUGGACUGCACCAGUGCUGGAGAGGCUGAACUCACCAUUGAGAUCGUCUCUGAGUCUGGGGCUCAGGCCGAGGUCCACAUCCAGAAGACUGCAGAUGGGACCUUCUCUGUCACCUACAUCCCACCCUUCCACGGCACACACACCAUUACCAUCAAGUACGGGGGUCAUGUUGUACCCAAGUUCCCCGCGGUCAUCCAGGUGGAGCCGGCUGUGGACACCAGUGGUGUGCAGGUCUAUGGACCAGGGGUGGAGCCCAGAGGAGUCCUCAAGGAGGUCACCACCCACUUCAUCGUGGACGCCCGUAAAACGACCAAGAUUGGCGGUGACCACGUGAAAGCACGCAUCAUCAACCCUUCAGGCGCCAACACAGACGCCUACAUCACAGACAAGGGAGACGGAACCUACAGAGUGGAGUAUACCGCCUUCGAGGACGGUAUGCACCUGCUGGAGGUGUUGUACGAUGACGUGGCGGUCCCUAAGAGUCCGUUCAGGGUGUCUGUGGUGGAGGGCUGUGACCCCACCCGGGUCAGGGCCUACGGGCCAGGCCUGGAGGGAGGACUUAUCAACAAAGCCAACUGCUUCACCGUCGAGACCAGGGGUGCUGGUACUGGAGGCCUGGGCCUGACCAUAGAGGGAGCCUCCGAGGCUAAGAUGACCUGUAAAGACAACAAAGAUGGCAGCUGCAGCGUAGAGUACGUUCCCUUCACACCUGGAGAGUACGACGUCAACAUCAACUUCGGAGGACACCCCAUUCCAGGCAGUCCGUUCCGGGUGCCAGUGAAGGAUGUGGUGGACCCUAGUAAGGUGAAGUGUUCCGGUCCAGGGCUGGGGGAUGGAGUCAGAGCCCACGUACCUCAGGCCUUUACAGUGGACGCUACCCAGGCUGGAAAGGCAAAGGUGGAAGUACAGCUAACAGGACCAUCAGGUUCUGCUGAGCCUGUUGCUGUGAAGAACAACGGUGAUGGUACACAUACGGUCAACUACACCCCAGCUCAGGACGGCCCUUACACUGUGUCUGUCAAAUACGGAGAUCAGGAAGUCCCUCGCAGUCCAUUCAAGGUGAGGUCCCAGCCUGGUCAUGAUGCCAGUAAGGUGCGUGCCAGUGGUCCAGGUCUGGAUAAAUCAGGUGUGGCCGCCAGCCUACCAGUGGAGUUCACCAUCGAUGCCCGCGACGCAGGAGAGGGACUGCUCACUGUACAGAUACUGGAUCCCGAGGGCAAGCCAAAGAAGGCCACUAUCCAUGACAACAGAGAUGGGACAUACACAGUGUCCUACGUACCAGACUCCACCGGCCCCUACACCAUCACCAUCAAGUAUGGAGGAGAUGAGAUCCCCUACUCCCCCUACCGCAUCUCAGCUCUGCCCACUGGAGACGCCAGCAAGUGUCUGCUUACUGUGUCUAUCGGAGGCCGUGCCCUGGCGUCGGGUCUGACCAAGAUGCAGGCGCACGAAGAGACUAUCGUCUCCGUUGACGCAAAGGCUGCAGGGAAGGGCAAGGUGACCUGUUCGGUGACGACCCCAGCGGGGGUGGAGCUAGACAUGGACGUUCAGGAGAAUCGUGACGGAACCUACGACAUCUACUACACGGCUCCGGAACCUGGGAAAUACGUCAUCACCAUCCGGUUCGGAGGACAACACAUCCCCAAGAGCCCCUUCCAUGUAACGGCCACCAAGGAGCCUGUUGUCCCUAGCGACGGUAUGGAUCAGUUCAGACCUCUUAACUUGGUCAUCCCGUUCUCCGCUCAGCAGGGACCGAUCACAGGUGAGGUGCGUAUGCCCUCCGGUAAGACGGCCCGUCCCCAUAUCACAGACAACAAGGAUGGGACCAUCACAGUCAAGUUCAACCCUACUGAGAAGGGUCUGCAUGAGAUGGACAUCAAGUAUGAAGGAAACCACAUCCCAGGAAGUCCCCUCCAGUUCUAUGUCGAUGCUAUAAACAGUGGUCUGGUGACAGCGUAUGGGCCUGGGUUGUGUCAUGGCACCGUCAACAAACCUGCCACCUUUACCGUUGUCACCAAGAACGCUGGAGAAGGUGGUCUGUCCCUGGCUGUGGAAGGUCCCUCUAAGGCAGAGAUCAGCUGUAAAGACAAUAAGGACGGUACCUGUACUGUGUCCUACCUGCCCACCUCACCAGGAGACUACAACAUCAUCGUCAAGUUUGACAACAAGCACAUCCCCGGCAGUCCCUUCACUGCUAAGAUCACAGGUGAUGACUCUAUCAGGACGUCCCUGCUCAACGUAGGAACAGCAGCAGAUCUAUCCCUGAAGAUCACAGAGUCUGACCUGAGCCUGCUGACAGCUAGCAUCAGAGCUCCAUCAGGAACGAGGAGCCCUGUCUGCUCAAGAGACUGCCCAACAGACACAUCGGUAUCUCCUUUACCCCUAAGGAGGUGGGAGAGCACGAGGUGAGCGUGAAGAAGGGUGGUAAGCACGUGACCAAACAGCCCCUUCAAGAUCCAGGUUGGCCAGUCAGAGAUUGGCGAGGCCAGCCGGGUCAAGGCCUUCGGUAAAGGACUGGUGGAGGCACACACCUUUGAAAUGGCUGAGUUCUUUGUGGACACUAGGAAUGCAGGUUAUGGUGGUCUGGGAUUGUCUAUCGAGGGCCCGAGUAAAGUGGACAUAAACUGUGAGGAUGUGGAGGAUGGACUUGCAGAGUCAGUUACUGCCCCACAGAGCCAGGCAACUACAUUAUCAACAUCAAGUUCUCUGAUAAGCACAUCCCUGGAAGUCCUUUCACGGUGAAGGUAACAGGAGAAGGAAGAAUGAAGGAGAGCAUCACCAGGAAGAGAACAGCCCCCUCCAUCGCCUCUGUCGGCAGCGCCUGUGGCCUCAACCUGAAAAUCCCUGGAAACUGGUUCCAGAUGGUGUCAGCCCAGGAGAGGAUGACUCGUACGUUCACACGCAGCAGCCACACGUACACGCGCACAGAGCGCACGGAGAUCAGCAAGAUGAGGGGCGGAGAGACGAAGAGGGAGGUGAGGGUAGAGGAGAGCACCCAGAUGGGAGGAGCAGGAGGAGGCAGUCCCUUCAGAGAUGUGUUUGGAGACUUCCUGGGCAGAGAGAGUCUGGCUAGCUUCGCUGGUAUACCCGCUACAGCCACACCAACACCUGGUGAGACAGUUACCCAAGGUAGUAUGACAGCCCAGGUGACCAGCCCCGGGGGUUAAAACAGAACAGGCAGAGAUCGUAGAUGGAGGGGAUAGCACCUACAGCGUCCGCUUCGUACCCCAGGAGAUGGGGGCACACACGGUCAACGUGAAGUACAGCGGGCAGCAUGUCCCCGGAAGUCCCUUCCAGUUCACUGUUGGGCCCAUGGGAGAGGGAGGGUCCCACAAGGUCCGGGCUGGAGGCACUGGGCUGGAGAGAGGAGUGGCAGGAGUACCAACUGAGUUCAGUAUCUGGACGCGUUGAGGCUGGUGCAGGAGGCCUGUCCAUCGCAGUAGAGGGGCCCAGUAAGGCUGAGAUCUCAUUUGAAGACAGGAAGGAUGGAUCCUGUGGGGUGGCCUACAUCGUUCAGGAGCCAGGUGACUAUGAAGUGUCUAUCAAGUUCAACAACGAGCACAUCCCCGACAGCCCCUUCAUCGUUCCCAUAGCAACGCUGUCUGACGAGGCACGCAGACUCACUGUCACCAGCCUGCAGGAGAAGGAUCUGAAGGUGAAUCAGGAAGCGUCGUUCGCUGUGCAGCGUAACGGGGCGAGGGGCGUGGUCGAUGCUAAGGUCCACACCCCAUCUGGCUCAGCUGAGGAGUGUUACGUCACCGAGCUGGACAGUGACAAGAACGCGAUCCGCUUCAUCCCACGUGAGAACGGUGUGCACUCCAUUGACGUCAAGUUCAACGGCAGUCACAUCCCCGGUAGCCCGUUCAACGUGCGGGUUGGGGAGGCAGGACAGGCUGGAGACCCAGGCAUGGUGACAGCAUACGGGCCUGGCCUGGAGGGAGGAUCUACAGGCGUGGCCUCUGAGUUCGUAGUGAACACGUGUAACGCGGGGUCAGGUGCCCUGUCUGUGACCAUUGACGGCCCCUCUAAGGUCAAGAUGGACUGUUCUGAGUGCCCCGAUGGCUACAAGGUUAUCUACACUCCUAUGGCCCCUGGCAGCUAUCUCAUCAACAUCAAAUACGGAGGACCCAACCACAUAGUGGGCAGCCCCUUCAAAGCCAGAGUCACAGGUACCCGUCUGUCCGGUGGUCACAGCCUUCACGAGACGUCCUCGGUGCUGGUAGAGACGGUCACCAAGACUUCCAAGGUUGCCGGAGCGUACAGCUCCUUAUCGUCCUCAUCCAAACUGACCUCAGAUGCCAGCAAGGUGGUGUGUCGAGGCGCAGGGCUCUCUAAGGCUUUGGUGGGACAGAAGAACAUCUUCAAUGUAGACUGCAGCAAAGCAGGCUCUAACAUGUUGCUGGUGGGAGUGCACGGCCCCACGACCCCAUGUGAAGAGGUGUACGUCAAACACAUGGGCAACCGCCUCUACAACGUCACCUACACUGUCAAAGACAAGGGAAACUACAUCGUUAUCGUCAAGUGGGGCGACGAUAGUGUCACCGGUAGCCCCUUCAACGUUGCUGUGCCUUGAACGAACGUCAACGAACACCCGACCCCGGAUCCCCACCACACCUUGCUCCACUGCACCGCUACACUCCUCAGUGGACCGCUGUAGAACCGCCUCUCUCAACGUGCACUAAAGAAUCCAAGGACAUUUUUUUUUCUCUCCCUCUAGCCUAUAAAGGAAAAAAAAAAAUCCGAUUUCAGCCUUAAUUUAAAGAAUGUGCCAAAAGCUUGUUGUAUUAACUCUGUUACUGUUUUAGAGCGAAGUUCUAGGUGACUCGUGUGGUGUCAUAGAGAUGGAAAGAGGCGACUGCCCUCUAUACAACUCUAUGUGUACUGGAGACAUGCUCCAAGUCAUGUGAUGUUGGUCUAAGUAUUUUGACUGGUACAAGAUCCCCACCAAUAGAAAGGGAUUAUUGUGUGAGUGUUUAGGACAUAAGAUAAGUUGCUUUUUAAACAGUAUUAAAGUGUGAUAUUAUAUGAUUUUGUAUGCUUAAAGACAUUUGAAAAGUUAUUUUUAUUAUAUUAACCAAUUCCUUGGUAAGUCUUUGCAGAACUAAUAAUAAAGAUUCAACUGCUACCUUGGCA